UCCAAUUCAAACGUACGUAUUCUCCGCCACCGGCGCAAUGGAGCUCCAAGGGGCUAAUAUGCGCCUCUCGUCGUCUAGAUCGGACCACUAGAGUCUGAGAUGCAUUCUUCUGUGCCUUCCGACUUCAAUCGGCGCCGGUGAAUGGAGCCUCAGCUUGUUGACGCUGCUAAACUGCGGCUGUCAUCCUCCUUCUCCAUAACGCCCACUACCUGUUUGGUAAAAUUCCCCACUGAACCACCAGACGCACCCAAGCCCAUUUUUCUGUCGGUGAAAGCAGCAAAAUGGAGCCCCGAAACUUACCCAGAUGGGCUCCUGAAAAAGCCCGAGAAGAACCUCUCCGGGAUCCUCAGGACCGAGGCUGCCAUUAGCAACAUUGAGAGAAAAGCUAAUUCAAACAAGUACAAUAGUCUGUGGCCCAAAGCUGUUUUGGAGGCUCUGGAUGAAGCAAUAAGAGGGAACGAGUGGGAGUCUGCUCUUAAGAUUUUUGGACUUCUUCGCAAGCAACGUUGGUAUGAGCCGAGAUGCCAAACCUACACAAAGCUCUUGAUGAUGCUAGGGAAGUGCAAGCAAGCUGAGCAAGCAAGCUUGCUUUUUGAGGUCAUGCGUUUUGAUGGGCUCAGUCCCACCCUUGAUGUUUACACUGCACUUUUAAGUGCUUAUGGCCUCAGUGGUUUCCUUGACAAAGCUUUUGGUGUCAUUGAUGAUAUGAAGUCAGUUUCUGACUGCAAACCUGAUGUAUAUACGUAUUCUGUCCUUAUUAACUGCUGUAUUAAAAACUAUCGCUGCGAUCUAAUUGAUCGCGUUCUUGCUGAUAUGGCCUAUGUGGGAGUUGAGUGCAGCACCAUAACAUACAAUACAAUAAUUGAUGGAUAUGGCAAGGCUGAAAUGUUUGAAUCGAUGGAGAGCUCAUUGAUGGAUAUGAUUGAGAGUGGUGCAUGCCUUCCAGAUGUUUUCACAUUAAAUUCAUUUAUAUGGGCUUAUGGGAAUAGUAGGCAGAUUGAGAAAAUGGAGAAGUGGUAUGAUGAAUUUCUGCGCAUGGGCAUUACACCAGACAUCAAAACAUUUAAUAUCCUUAUAAGAUCAUAUGGAAAAGUGAGAAUGUUUGAUAAAAUGGUUGCUGUUAUGGAGUUUAUGGAAAAAAGGUACCUCUCCCCAACGGUUGUUACUUUUAAUACAGUUAUUGAGAUGUUUGGAAAGGCUGGAAAAAUAGAGAAGAUGGAGAAAAUCUUCAAAAAAAUGAAGCAUGAAGGAAUGAAGCCCAACUCCAUAACAUACUGCUCUCUUGUCAGUGCUUACAGUAAAGAUGGUAAUUUAAAUAUGGUUGACUCAAUUUUGAGGCAAGUGGGGAAUUCUGAUGUUGUCCUGGAUACACCGUUUUUCAAUUCUGUCAUCAGCGCCUAUGGUCAAGCUGGUGACCUAGAACAAAUGAAUGAGGCAUUUUUGUCUAUGAAGGGGAGAAAAUGCAAGCCUGAUGAUAUUACCUUUGCCACCAUGAUCCAAGCCUACAAUGCCCGAGGCAUGGUUGAGGCUGCUCGAGAUUUGGAGAUUAUGAUGAACUUGCAAAAGGAAAAGUCAGGAACAAAGCGGAUUGGAUGCUAUUAAGAUUGAUUAGUCUGUAAAUGCAACAUUCGGAAAAUAUGGAAUUCUAAUCUCCAAUACAAUCAGACAGGGAAGAAUAAUUUCUCUGCAGCAGAAAUUUUGGGGAUGGGUGCAUUUAGAGCAGUUUAGCUGAAGUGGUAAGCCCUAGUUUGUGUUGAUGAACAUGUAAAAUGGUGAAAGGGAAGGUGUUUUUGGAGAGUGCAACUGUUGACAACAAUGGCACUUUCGUGAUUUUCUAUGGUUGGUGCUUGGUACUCACAUGAUCAUUUGUGGACCAAAAACUUUGUUGCUAGCAGGAGUACAUCCCAUGACAAUCUUUGCAAGGGUUGCCUCUUUCACAGUGAGAUUACCUCUGGAAAGGCUUUCAAUCUACAAGAGACACCCAAGUGACUUAAGGAUUUGACAGCAUUUCAAUCUUACGAGGUUACAAUCCUAAAUAGGACGAAAUGGUGGACAACGAUAUAGCUGACUUCACUUACGUCGUGUUUGGUUUGCGGAAUGAAACAAGAUAGGAAAAGAAAGGAAUGAAAAUUUGAAUGGUGAUCAGACAAAUUUAAGUAAUAAAUUCGAUUCGAUUCGAUUCCAUUUAA